rnacentral:rRNA from 1 species
GAUGAACGCUGGCGGCGUGCCUAAUACAUGCAAGUCGAGCGAACAGACGAGGAGCUUGCUCCUCUGACGUUAGCGGCGGACGGGUGAGUAACACGUGGAUAACCUACCUAUAAGACUGGGAUAACUUCGGGAAACCGGAGCUAAUACCGGAUAAUAUAUUGAACCGCAUGGUUCAAUAGUGAAAGACGGUUUUGCUGUCACUUAUAGAUGGAUCCGCGCCGCAUUAGCUAGUUGGUAAGGUAACGGCUUACCAAGGCAACGAUGCGUAGCCGACCUGAGAGGGUGGUCGGCCACACUGGAACUGAGACACGGUCCAGACUCCUACGGGAGGCAGCAGUAGGGAAUCUUCCGCAAUGGGCGGAAGCCUGACGGAGCAACGCCGCGUGAGUGAUGAAGGUCUUCGGAGCGUAAAACUCUGUUAUUAGGGAAGAACAAAUGUGUAAGUAACUAUGCACGUCUUGACGGUACCUAAUCAGAAAGCCACGGCUAACUACGUG